CUUGGUGACGAUAGCGGUGUGGAACCACCCGAUUACAUUCCGAACUCGCAGGUGAAACGCAUGAUCGCGCCGAUGGUAGUUAAUCGUUAGGGUUAGCGAGAGUAGGUUAUCGCCAAGC
rnacentral:rRNA from 1 species